AAACGAACUCGUAUUGGUGAUGAUGAUGAUGAUUAUGGUGAUGGUGAUGGUGAUAAUGUAGAUUCACAGAUGGAAUCGGAAAAUGAAUUGUGGAACAGAACAGAUUGGGACACUUCCUAUAGAAAAUCCCGUACUUUUACUAUC